rnacentral:rRNA from 1 species
UGGGGAAUUUUGGACAAUGGGGGAAACCCUGAUCCAGCCAUCCCGCGUGUGCGAUGAAGGCCUUCGGGUUGUAAAGCACUUUUGGCAGGAAAGAAACGUCAUGGGUUAAUACCCCGUGAAACUGACGGUACCUGCAGAAUAAGCACCGGCUAACUACGUGCCAGCAGCCGCGGUAAUACGUAGGGUGCAAGCGUUAAUCGGAAUUACUGGGCGUAAAGCGUGCGCAGGCGGUUCGGAAAGAAAGAUGUGAAAUCCCAGAGCUCAACUUUGGAACUGCAUUUUUAACUACCGGGCUAGAGUGUGUCAGAGGGAGGGGGAAUUCCGCGUGUAGCAGUGAAAUGCGUAGAUAUGCGGAGGAACACCGAUGGCGAAGGCAGCCUCCGGGGAUAACACUGACGCUCAUGCACGAAAGCGUGGGGAGCAAACAGG